rnacentral:rRNA from 1 species
UACGUAGGGUGCAAGCGUUGUCCGGAAUUAUUGGGCGUAAAGAGCUCGUAGGCGGUCUGUUGCGUCGGCUGUGAAAACCCGGGGCUCAACUCCGGGCCUGCAGCCGAUACGGGCAGACUAGAGUUCGGCAGGGGAGACUGGAAUUCCUGGUGUAGCGGUGAAAUGCGCAGAUAUCAGGAGGAACACCGGUGGCGAAGGCGGGUCUCUGGGCAGUAACUGACGCUGAGGAGCGAAAGCGUGGGGAGCAAACAGG